rnacentral:lncRNA from 1 species
AGGCUUUUGCUGCUAAUCUCAAACAAGUCUCAAUGGCCUCCUUUCUCUUCCAGAUUGGGAGUCGCUCCGUAUUGGUGGCUUGGUCUUUGCAGGCAUUCUGUGUUUUCUGGGAAUUGUUAUCCUCCUGAGUGGAAAGUGCAAAUGCAAGCCCAAAAAGAAAAGCAGCACACAGAUCAGUGGGGCACCAAAACAACCCCUUGCAGGAUCCAGUGAGUGCUGAACGGAGCUCCUUCUCAUGAUGCCACCAGCCCUGAUUGUUCUGGGUGAAAACGGUUCUCUGCCUGACCAAUGAGCCACCAUCUUGUUUUGUUGCCUUUUCUUCUUGCAUUUGUUUUGUGAAAUAAAAUCUCAUUGCCAUUCCCCC